rnacentral:rRNA from 1 species
AACGAACGCUGGCGGCAUGCCUAACACAUGCAAGUCGAACGAGACCUUCGGGUCUAGUGGCGCACGGGUGCGUAACGCGUGGGAACCUGCCCUUAGGUUCGGAAUAACUCCCCGAAAGGGGUGCUAAUACCGGAUAAGUUCUUCGGCCCAAAGAUUUAUCGCUUUUGGAUGGGCCCGCGUUGGAUUAGCUAGUUGGUAGGGUAAAAGCCUACCAAGGCGACGAUCCAUAGCUGGUCUGAGAGGAUGAUCAGCCACACUGGGACUGAGACACGGCCCAGACUCCUACGGGAGGCAGCAGUGGGGAAUAUUGGACAAUGGGCGAAAGCCUGAUCCAGCAAUGCCGCGUGAGUGAUGAAGGCCUUAGGGUUGUAAAGCUCUUUUACCCGGGAUGAUAAUGACAGUACCGGGAGAAUAAGCUCCGGCUAACUCCGUG